GAUGAACGCUAGCUACAGGCUUAACACAUGCAAGUCGAGGGGAAACGACAUCGAAAGCUUGCUUUUGAUGGGCGUCGACCGGCGCACGGGUGAGUAACGCGUAUCCAACCUGCCCAUCACUUGGUGAUAACCUUGCGAAAGUAAGACUAAUACCCAAUGAUAUCUCUAGAAGACAUCUGAAAGAGAUUAAAGAUUUAUCGGUGAUGGAUGGGGAUGCGUCUGAUUAGCUUGUUGGCGGGGUAACGGCCCACCAAGGCAACGAUCAGUAGGGGUUCUGAGAGGAAGGUCCCCCACAUUGGAACUGAGACACGGUCCAAACUCCUACGGGAGGGAGCAGUGAGGAAUAUUGGUCAAUGGGAGAGAGCCUGAACCAGCCAAGUAGCGUGCAGGAAGACGGCCCUAGGGGUUGUAAACUGCUGUUAGAAGGGAAUAAAGUGAGAGUCGUGACUCUUUUUGUAUGUACCUUAUGAAUAAGGACCGGCUAAUUCCGUG
rnacentral:rRNA from 1 species